CUUAAACGAUAAUUAAAGAAAUAACAUCUAUAACAUAUACAAUAAGCUGGUUUAGGUGUCUGAACUACCUGAAAAAGAUGUCUCAAAUGCGAGGGUCCAGUGUAGGUAGUAGGGACCUUAAGCAAACAGGACGGCAACGCGACGACGACGGCUAUUCACACAAUGAUAUUCCUGAUCUCGUACAAAAGAAAUGAAUAAUUAAAAGCCCCACGGGAGUUACAGACGUUGUGUUAGUGCUUUUUACAACGGCAAACCAGAGAUUUUCACGUCUCGUGUACAACGCAAACAUGUCAAGACGCGACAAGUAAAACUACAAAUUUGCUCAGCAGAAGCGUUUUUAACAAUAAAGCCUU